AUGUUAAUCUGUUUAAUAAUUUUACUCUCAUCAAAUAACGGUAGCAAAGCCAGUGAUUUCAUCACCCCACUUAGUGAAACUGAAUUUGCUAUUGAGGGUGACAGUGUUACACUCUCUUGUAACUACAGUGCUUCUGUGGUCAAUAGUCUUCAAUGGUACUGGAAGUAUGCAGAUUCACCACCACAGUUCCUCAUACUGGACAAUUAUGGCAUAACUUUUCAUGCAGAUCCCUCAGUUCCUGUAAUAUCCAUCAAAGACAGAAAAGAAGCCAGUAUUGUGGAUCUGAAGAUCUCUGCUGCUGUAACAGACUCUGCUGUAUACUACUGCACCAUGCAGCCCACAGAUGUAAUUCUGAGGACAAAGUUGAUCAGAAUAUCAGAGUUCAAACAGCUCUUGAAGGUGAAGCUCGAUGAUGAAGCAUUCAAGGGGAGAUUUAAUGCUGAACUCAAUGCAUCUUCAUUGUCGGUUCCACUGACAAUCCAGGACCUGCGUGUGUCUGACUCUGCUGUGUACUACUGCGCUCUGCAGCCCACUGUGACUAAACCACAUUCAGCACUCAUACAAAAACCCUGA